rnacentral:rRNA from 1 species
UACGUAGGUGGCAAGCGUUGUCCGGAUUUAUUGGGCGUAAAGGGAGCGCAGGCGGUGACUUAAGUCUGAUGUGAAAGCCCACGGCUCAACCGUGGAAGGUCAUUGGAAACUGGGGAACUUGAGUGCAGAAGAGGAGAGUGGAAUUCCACGCGUAGCGGUGAAAUGCGUAGAGAUGUGGAGGAACACCAGUGGCGAAGGCGACUCUCUGGUCUGUAACUGACGCUGAGGUGCGAAAGCGUGGGUAGCAAACAGGAUUAGAUACCCCCGUA